GUCUCCAGAAAAGGAGAAGGGCAGGCAUCCUAGGAAUGUGAACGACAUCAUUCCAUGGGCUGUGGCCCUAGACUGAAUGAAAAAAGAAGAAAAAGAUGCAGACACGGCGUCUCUCUCUGCUCCCUGACACUGGGUACAAUGUGACCAACUGCGCCAAGUUCCUGAUAACACAGCCUUAACUGAAGUCUUCUCCCUGCCAUGCCUCCCCUGCCAUAACAGACCACACUCUGUCAGCCAAGGUCACAAAGAAGAACGUGGAAGAGGAGGCAAAAAGAACCAAAAAGACGGGAUGGAGAAGAGAGCUGUGAAAUGCUUCUGGACAUGUCAUCUCAAAGCAACCAUGGCUAUUGAAGCAAGACCUGCAUAAGAUCAAGCCAGCAAAACUCCGGCGUAGGCGGAAAACAAGUUCUUAAGAUCUUACGUUUUACUGAGAAGCUAUUGACAGUUCAUAGCUUCUGGGAGAGACAAAACCAUCCUUUUAUGAAGUACCAAGUUGAGGCAGAUACAGUGAUGGAAGCCUGUCAGCCCAAGACCUGCCUAGGAGGAAGAAGGUUUUGCCAUGAGUUUGAAGCCAAACUCAGCUCCAUAGAGAGUUAAAUCCAGCUUGGACUCUGGUAUAAAAGGCCCUGUCUACUUGCCAACAGCAAAAAAUAAAUACACAGAUUCCCUGCUCCCAAGUUUAAAGAGAACUAGUCAGUGUUGGGACAAGUGCCAUGUUAGGCUCACAGAAAUGUCAAGAGUGAGCCCAGCCUCUGCAAAUGCGUGACCUGCUGCUGGCAUGUUGAGUUCGGUCUGUUUUCCAGAUGGGGCAUUUGGAACUCAGCAAAGAUAACAGGAUAACCUUAAUGCCUAAUACAGGAAAAAUAGGGAGCUACAGCACUGUUCGUAGGGAGCUAGAGCACUGAGCAUGGGGGUCAGAAGUUCCUGUUUGCUCUUUGGUAUUUAUUCUGUCCAACUUCUGACUGGAUGUAUGCUCCUCAAGAACACGCGUGUCAGAUGCUGAGACUCAGGGCCAAACUGAUCAGAGCUCAGAUGAAUCAUACGGAAGUGAGGGGUGGGAUUAGAGGGACAUGGAGGGGACAGAAGCUCCACAAGGAGACCAACAAAACUAAAAGAUCUGAGCCCAGGGGGUCCUACAGAGACUGAUGUACCAAUGGAAGACCACACAUGGAGAGGACCUAAACCCCCUGCUCAGAUGUGGCUGAUUGGCAGCUCAGUCUCCAUGUGGCUCUCUGAGUGAGGGGAUCAAGUGCUGCCUCUAACAUGAACUCAGUUGACUGCUCUCUGAUCACUCACACCUGAUGAUGCAGCCUUGCCAGGCCAUGGAGGAAGAGGAUUCAAGCAGUCCUGAUGAGACUUGAGUUAUGGGCAGAAAGCAACGAAGGGAACUUCCCCUUUCAAUGGUGAGGGGAAGGAGAUGAGGGAAAGAAGGAAGGAGGGUGGGACUGGGAAGGUUGAGGGAGGAGGCUUCAAUCAAGAUAUAUAAUCAAUAAAUUGUGAAGAAAAAAAUAAAAAAUAAAGAACAUACUUGUAUUGAGAAUUUCCAAAAUGCAAAAGUUUUGCAGGAUUGCAGGAUAGGAAAGGUCUAAUUCUCAUUCUCAUGGCAAUGACAGAAUAAUUUUUAUAAGAAACACACACACACUCACUCAACUAGCUUAUAUAAAAACAAGAUCAGCUCAAGCUUAAGAUUUUUACUACUUACAAGAAGAGCUUGCUGACCCCUGGAUUAGAAUUUCAUUUUACAUCUCUGUCAGUUCCGCCUGCCAUUAUUAGUACAACCAAAUUACUUUAAAAAUUAUCUAUCGUCUGUCUAUCUAUCUAUCUAUCUAUCUAUCUAUCUAUCUAUCUACUUAUCUGUGGCCACUUAAAAGUCCAGAUAUAUCUUGUGUUUUGCUCGA